UACGUAGGGUGCGAGCGUUAAUCGGAAUUACUGGGCGUAAAGCGUGCGCAGGCGGCGCGUUAAGACAGGUGUGAAAGCCCCCGAGCUUAACUUGGGAAUUGCGCUUGUGACUGGCGUGCUGGAGUGUGGCAGAGGGAGGUGGAAUUCCACGUGUAGCAGUGAAAUGCGUAGAGAUGUGGAGGAACACCGAUGGCGAAGGCAGCCUCCUGGGCCAGCACUGACGCUGAGGAGCGAAAGCGUGGGGAGCGAACAGG
rnacentral:rRNA from 1 species